rnacentral:rRNA from 1 species
ACUAAGAGCGAAUGGUGGAUGCCUUGACUGGUAAAGGCGAUGAAGGACGUACUAGACUGCGAUAAGCUACGGGGAGCUGUCAAGAAGCUUUGAUCCGUAGAUUUCCGAAUGGGGCAACCCAAUGUAUAGAGAUAUACAUUACCUAUAUAGGAGCGAACGAGGGGAAUUGAAACAUCUUAGUACCCUCAGGAAAAGAAAUCAAUAGAGAUUGCGUCAGUAGCGGCGAGCGAAAGCGCAAGAGGGCAAACCCAGUGCUUGCACUGGGGGUUGUAGGACUGCAAUGUGCAAGAGCUGAGUUUAGCAGAACAUUCUGGAAAGUAUAGCCAUAGAGGGUGAUAGUCCCGUAUGCGAAAAACAAAGCUUAGCUAGCAGUAUCCUGAGUAGGGCGGGACACGAGGAAUCCUGUCUGAAUCCGGGUCGACCACGAUCCAACCCUAAAUACUAAUACCAGAUCGAUAGUGCACAAGUACCGUGAGGGAAAGGUGAAAAGAACUGAGGUGAUCAGAGUGAAAUAGAACCUGAAACCAUUUGCUUACAAUCAUUCAGAGCCCUAUGUAGCAAUACAGGGUGAUGGACUGCCUUUUGCAUAAUGAGCCUGCGAGUUGUGGUGUCUGGCAAGGUUAAGCAAACGCGAAGCCGUAGCGAAAGCGAGUCUGAAUAGGGCGCUUAGUCAGAUGCUGCAGACCCGAAACGAAGUGAUCUAUCCAUGAGCAAGUUGAAGCUAGUGUAAGAACUAGUGGAGGACUGAACCCAUAGGCGUUGAAAAGCCCCGGGAUGACUUGUGGAUAGGGGUGAAAGGCCAAUCAAACUUCGUGAUAGCUGGUUCUCUCCGAAAUAUAUUUAGGUAUAGCGUUGUGUCGUAAUAUAAGGGGGUAGAGCACUGAAUGGGCUAGGGCAUACACCAAUGUACCAAACCCUAUCAAACUCCGAAUACCUUAUAUGUAAUCACAGCAGUCAGGCGGCGAGUGAUAAAAUCCGUCGUCAAGAGGGAAACAACCCAGACUACCAGCUAAGGUCCCUAAAUCUUACUUAAGUGGAAAACGAUGUGAAGUUACUUAAACAACCAGGAGGUUGGCUUAGAAGCAGCCAUCCUUUAAAGAAAGCGUAAUAGCUCACUGGUCUAGUGAUUUUGCGCGGAAAAUAUAACGGGGCUAAAGUAAGUACCGAAGCUGUAGACUUAGUUUACUAAGUGGUAGGAGAGCGUUCUAUUUGCGUCGAAGGUAUACCGGUAAGGAGUGCUGGAGCGAAUAGAAGUGAGCAUGCAGGCAUGAGUAGCGAUAAUUAAUGUGAGAAUCAUUAACGCCGUAAACCCAAGGUUUCCUACGCGAUGCUCGUCAUCGUAGGGUUAGUCGGGUCCUAAGUCGAGUCCGAAAGGGGUAGACGAUGGCAAAUUGGUUAAUAUUCCAAUACCAACAUUAGUGUGCGAUGGAAGGACGCUUAGGGCUAAGGGGGCUAGCGGAUGGAAGUGCUAGUCUAAGGUCGUAGGAGGUUAUACAGGCAAAUCCGUAUAACAAUACUCCGAGAACUGAAAGGCUUUUUGAAGUCUUCGGAUGGAUAGAAGAACCCCUGAUGCCGUCGAGCCAAGAAAAGUUUCUAAGUUUAGCUAAUGUUGCCCGUACCGUAAACCGACACAGGUGGGUGGGAUGAGUAUUCUAAGGCGCGUGGAAGAACUCUCUUUAAGGAACUCUGCAAAAUAGCACCGUAUCUUC